rnacentral:rRNA from 1 species
GAUGAACGCUGGCGGCGUGCCUAAUACAUGCAAGUCGAGCGAACAGACGAGGAGCUUGCUCCUCUGACGUUAGCGGCGGACGGGUGAGUAACACGUGGAUAACCUACCUAUAAGACUGGGAUAACUUCGGGAAACCGGAGCUAAUACCGGAUAAUAUAUUGAACCGCAUGGUUCAAUAGUGAAAGACGGUUUUGCUGUCACUUAUAGAUGGAUCCGCGCCGCAUUAGCUAGUUGGUAAGGUAACGGCUUACCAAGGCAACGAUGCGUAGCCGACCUGAGAGGGUGAUCGGCCACACUGGAACUGAGACACGGUCCAGACUCCUACGGGAGGCAGCAGUAGGGAAUCUUCCGCAAGGGGCGAAAGCCUGACGGAGCAACGCCGCGUGAGUGAUGAAGGUCUUCGGAUCGUAAAACUCUGUUAUUAGGGAAGAACAAAUGUGUAAGUAACGAUGCACGUCUUGACGGUACCUAAUCAGAAAGCCACGGCUAACUACGUG